CGACUGUGUGUCCUGCUCAUUCAGAUGCCUGCUCCACCAUCACAGGACCCAACUCCGUGAUGAAGUCAUGCGCUUAUAAGUCCUUCUGUGACAAGUCUCACAUGAGCAAUGGGGAGAUGAAGCUGGAAUGCUGCUUCAACGACGAGUGUAACGGC